GUCACAAUUUAUCAAAUUAUUAGUCGCAACUUAUUUUUCGAUCACACAUAAAAAAUUUUAUAGAUCACAAAAAUACUUUUCAAUCACGAGUCUAAAAAUUUUAUAGGCCACGACUCAUGAAUUAUUCAUCACCACAGAUUCAAAACUUUCAUUGUAAAUUAUUUGAUUACUUGAUCACGAUUAAUCAAUUGUGAGUCAUAAUUGGGAGUCAUAAUCACAAUUUUCAGGUCACAUAUCCAAUUAUUAGUCACAAAACAAUCAAAUCGCCACAACCACCACAUGAUUGCCACAACCACCAUCACGAUCAACUCACGGUCACAAUUUUCAGGUCACGGGUCCAAUUACUUGUCACAAAAUCUACUAAACUGUCAUGACCACCACAACCACAACGAAACCCAUCACUACCACUGCACUGCACCCACGGCCACACGACCACGCCAGAAAAAUCCCAAAUCUGACACCGAACUGUACCACCACCGCCCGUACCAACCACCACUGCCAUCACCUCGGCUCAAUCACAAAACAACCACUGACCACACAAUACCCACCGUCGCAACACACACAUGUUUUUUCUUCGUCGCCGACCAUCACACAAAACAAAAAACCUUCCUCGUCGCCACCACGACCUCCGGUUAUAGUCGUUGCUACAGAUCUAAGCCAAAUCGCUGCUGUAAGAGGUCACCGCCAGAUCCCGUCAUUCACAGCCAGAUUGCUGCCAAAUCCGACACUAAAAGCCCUCGCCACCAGUUUUGUCGACGCUGCAAUGGAGAAGUUCGCAGUAGCGUCGAUCAGCGAUGUGCAACAGAGCAGACCACAACUAUCGAUCAGUGAAGCUGGAACGAAGGAGCUCCUCUAUCGUUGAUCCUCCAUCGACUUUCACCGAUCAGAUGAGAGAGAGAGAGAGAGAGAGAGAGAGAGAGAGAGAGAGAAUUGGGUUUUGGUGGUGGGCAGGGGAAUGAAAUAAGCAGGG
rnacentral:lncRNA from 1 species